AAAUAUUCGGGGAACUAGCAGGACAAGUAGAGAGACAGGGUGGCAGGAUAUCAAGGUAUCGAUCCGGAGGGUAGAAACGCUGUGCACGACGACGAGCGUCUCUCGAAGCGCUCGUGUCUCUUCACGCUCGGUCGCGCUUUUCGUUAACGCCGAGCUAAGAGCCGGGGCUCGUGUAACGGGAUCCUCGCGGAAAGCGCCUUGGGGUUUUAUGGUACCCCUUCAGCUGGGAUCAGAAGAGGCCAGAGAGGAGCAGCAAAGGAAGAAGGAGGUGCCCGAGAUGGGGGUGGUUAACGUUGGAGGACGAUGGAUAGAUGGUGCGAGAAACCUGCAACGCACAGUUGUUUACAUACAUCCCCGACUUCACUGACAUUCCGCUACCAUGCCAGUUACUAUAUCGCUUAAUAUAA
rnacentral:misc_RNA from 1 species